rnacentral:rRNA from 1 species
UACGUAGGGUGCGAGCGUUGCCCGGAUUUAUUGGGCGUAAAGGCGCGCAGGCGGCUACGCACGUCCGUUGUGAAAUCGCUCGGCUCAACUGGCGGGGUCAGCGGAUACGGCGUAGCUGGAGCAAGCUAGGGGCAAUGGAAUUCCCGGUGUAGUGGUGAAAUGCGUAGAUAUCGGGAGAACACCAGUGGCGAAGGCGAACUACCUGGCCUGUUCUUGACGCUGAGGCGCGAAAGCUAGGGAGCAAACGGG